rnacentral:rRNA from 1 species
UACGUAGGGUGCGAGCGUUGUCCGGAAUUAUUGGGCGUAAAGAGCUUGUAGGCGGUUUGUCGCGUCUGCCGUGAAAAUUCGAGGCUCAACUUCGAGCUGUCGGUGGAAACUGUCUGGCUAGAGUCCGGAAGAGGAGAAUGGAAUUCCUGGUGUAGCGGUGAAAUGCGCAGAUAUCAGGAAGAACACCCGUGGCGAAGGCGGUUCUCUGGGACGGUACUGACGCUGAGACGCGAAAGCGUGGGGAGCGAACAGG